rnacentral:lncRNA from 1 species
GACUGUGGGGCCUUCACCCAUUCUAGCAUGGCCCCUCAGCCAGGACUUUAGCAUUCACUGGAUCAGGCGCUGCUGCCCUACCUCUGAGAAAUGGAGCAGGUGGAGUGGGAAGAAACUGCAGGCUUUGUUGCAGGACACAGACAAGAGGAGACUCAUCCCUACAGCGUCCCUCAACAUUUGCCUACAUCUACAGAGCCAUUCAAAGCUCCAAGAAAAGACCCUGGCCAUGAGGGCAGCUUACUUUCUCCUCUGACCCUGCAAGCAUGUAGUUUCUAACCGCAGGAACGUUUUUGUGCAUUCACUGACUCGGGUCUCCUUUAUAGGCUGACAUUGAGAGAUGCAGUUCUGUAACUUGCUUUUUAAAGAAAAAAAGCACACUGGGUUUCAAAUAGCUCUCUGUCCCUGUGCUGACCAUAGUAACCAUUUCAGAAGUCUCUCCCAGAUGGCGGCCCCAUUGAGGAAGCUGUGGCCUGUUGCUCACUGCAGCAUGUCUGGUAUCUCCUUGGCAGUCUGCUUGUUUGUGUCAAGGAUGACAGACUGAGUCAUGUUCCCCCAACAGACAUGUCCAACCUUUUGUCAUUGCGACACAACGCUGUCGUCUACAAAGGUCACAACUGAGAACCUCAAAAUUGAGUUACCAAAGUGGAGGCCUGGUGAGAUGGCUCAGUGGUUAAGAGCACUGGCUGCUCUUCUGAAGGUCUGGGGUUGAAUUCCCAGCAACCACAUGGGGGCUCACAAUGGUCUAUAACGCCAGUUCCAGCUAACCCAACACCCUCUUCUAAUUUCUGAGGACACCGGACAUGUGCACUGUGAGCAGAUGUGCAAGCAGGAAAACACCCAUACAUAUAAAAUAAGUAAAAGAAAAAAAUGGUUCUUCAAGAUAGGUUCUCUCUAUGUAGCCUUGGCUGUCCUGAAACUAUGCAGACCAGGCUAGCCUAGAACUCAAAGAAUUCUACCUGCCUCUGCCUCCAGAGUACUGAGAUCAAAGGUGUGCAUCACCAUGGCAGGCUUAGUAAAUACAUUUUUUUAUUUUCAAAAGUAUCAUAUGAUGUUUUAAGUAAGUGUAGCUUUGGAGUUGGUCUGUAUUUACCGCUGUCCUGGGUCACAUGGUUAAACUUGUCUAUUUCACUUGUAAUUCUGUCAAUAAACUCUGGGUUUCCCUCCAGCUUUUAGCAAAUCAA